AGCGAACGCUGGCGGCAGGCCUAACACAUGCAAGUCGAGCGGCCGUAGCAAUACGGCAGCUGCAGACGGGAGAGUAACACGUGGGAACGCGCCCUUCGGUGCGGAAUAACUCAGGGAAACUUGGGCUAAUACCGGAUACGCCCUUACGGGGUAAGAUUUAUUGCCGAAGGAACGGCCCGCCUCCGCUUAGCUUGUUGGUGAGGUCACGGCUCACAAAGGCAACGACCGGUAGCUGGUCUGAGAGGAUUACCAGCCUCACUGGGACUGAGACACGGCGCAGACUCUUACGGGAGGCAGCAGUGGGGAAUGUUGGACAAUGGGCGCAAGCCUGAUCCAGCCAUGCCGCGUGGGUGAUGAAGGCCCUAGGGUUGUAAAGCCCUUUCGGCGGGGAAGAUAAUGACGGUACCCGCAGAAGAAGCCCCGGCUAACUUCGUGCCAGCCGCCGCCGUAAGAC
rnacentral:rRNA from 1 species